GACGAACGCUGGCGGCGUGCUUAACACAUGCAAGUCGAACGCUGAAGCCCAGCUUUUGUUGGGUGGUUGAGUGGCGAACGGGUGAGUAACACGUGAGUAACCUGCCCUCUUCUUUGGGAUAACGUCCGGAAACGGGUGCUAAUACUGGAUAUUCGCUCGUCCUCGCUGGGGGGUUGGUGGAAGGUGCUUUUCUGGUGGGGGGUGUGGUGGCGGCCUAUCUGCUUGUUGGUGUGGUGGUGGCCUACCAAGUCUUUGACGGGUGGCCGGCCGGAGAGGGUGACCGGGCAGAUUAGGAGUGAGAUAGGGCCCAGACUCCUGCGGGAGGCAGCAGGGGAGAAAAUUGUACAGUGGGCGGAAGACUGGUGGGGAGACGCAGGGUGAGAGGUGGAGGCCGGGGGGUUGGGAACCGGUUUCGCUAAUGGUUAAGCCGGAGAAAUAGUGGGGGUGAGGGUAAUGGGUAAAGAAGCGCCGGCUAACUACGUG
rnacentral:rRNA from 1 species